rnacentral:rRNA from 1 species
CGGUUGAUCCUGCCGGACCUGACUGCUAUCGGAUUGAUACUAAGCCAUGCGAGUCAUUGUAGUAAUACAAGGCAGACGGCUCAGUAACGCGUAGUCAACCUACCCUAUGGACGGGGAUAACCUCGGGAAACUGAGAAUAAUACCCGAUAGAACAUUAUACCUGGAAUGGUUUAUGUUUCAAAUAAUUUAUUGCCGUAGGAUGGGACUGCGGCCUAUCAGUUUGUUGGUGAGGUAAUGGCCCACCAAGACUAUUACAGGUACGGGCUCUGAGAGGAGUAGCCCGGAGAUGGGUACUGAGACACGGACCCAGGCCCUAUGGGGCGCAGCAGGCGAGAAAACUUUGCAAUGUGCGAAAGCACGACAAGGUUAAUCCGAGUGGUUUCUGCUAAAGGAACCUUUUGUCAGUCCUAGAAACACUGAUGAAUAAGGGGUGGGCAAGUUCUGGUGUCAGCCGCCGCGGUAAAACCAGCACCUCAAGUGGUCAGGAUGAUUAUUGGGCCUAAAGCAUCCGUAGCCUGCUUUGUUAGUUUUCGGUUAAAUCCAUACGCUCAACGUAUGGGCUGCCGGGAAUACUGCAAAGCUAGGGAGUGGGAGAGGUAGACGGUACUCGGUAGGAAGGGGUAAAAUCCUUUGAUCUAUUGAUGACCACCUGUGGCGAAGNNGGUCUACCAGAACACGUCCGACGGUGAGGGAUGAAANCUGGGGGAGCAAACCGGAUUAGAUACCCGGGUAGUCCCAGCUGUAAACUAUGCAAACUCGGUGANGCAUUGGCUUGAUGCCAAUGNAGUGCCGCAGGGAAGCCGUUAAGUUU